rnacentral:rRNA from 1 species
UACGUAGGGUGCAGGCGUUAAUCGGAAUUACUGGGCGUAAAGCGUGCGCAGGCGGUUUGCUAAGACAGGUGUGAAAUCCCCGGGCUUAACCUGGGAACUGCGCUUGUUACUGGCAAGCUGGGAGUGUGGCAGAGGGGGGUGGAAUUCCGACGUGUAGCAGUGAAAUGCGUAGAGAUGUGGAGGAACACCGAUGGCGAAGGCAGCCCCCUGGGCUAACACUGACGCUCAUGCACGAAAGCGUGGGGAGCAAACAGG